AGAGCGAACGCUGGCGGCGUGGAUAAGACAUGCAAGUCGAACGCGAUUUAUCAGGUUAGCAAUAACUCGGUAAGUUGAGUGGCGAAAGGGUGCGUAACACGUGGGAAUUUACCGAGAAGUGGGGAAUAGCUUGACGAAAGUCAAAUUAAUACCGCAUACGAUCGCAAGAUCAAAGCCGGGACCGCAAGGCCUGGCGCUUUUUGAGAAGCCCGCGGCCCAUCAGCUAGUUGGCGGGUAAAAGCCCACCAAGGCUAUGACGGGUAGCUGGUCUGAGAGGACGACCAGCCACACUGGAACUGAGACACGGUCCAGACACCUACGGAUGGCAGCAGUCGAGAAUUUUUCACAAUGGAC
rnacentral:rRNA from 1 species